rnacentral:rRNA from 1 species
UCCUUAGAUGUUCUGGGCCGCACGCGUGCUACACUGAGUGGAUCAGCGGGUCAGGUUGCGCGAAAGCGUUUCCUAAUCUUUAAAUCCGCUCGUGAUGGGGAUUGACGGUUGCAAUUUUCUGUCAUGAACGAGGAAUACCUUGUAAGCGCGGGUCAUCAUCCCGCGCUGAAUACGUCCCUGCCCUUUGUACACACCGCCCGUCGCUCCUACCGAUUGAGUGGUCCGGUGAGGCUUUGGGAUCUGAGCGGAAAGAGCGUUUCGCUGUUUCUGCUUGGAAAACUCAGUCGAACCUUAUCAUUUAGAGGAAGGAGAAGUCGUAACA